UACGUAGGCAGCGAGCGUUGUUCGGAGUUACUGGGCGUAAAGGGUGUGUAGGCGGUUGUUUAAGUUUGGUGUGAAAUCUCCCGGCUCAACUGGGAGGGUGCGCCGAAUACUGAAUGACUAGAGUGCGGGAGAGGAAAGUGGAAUUCCUGGUGUAGCGGUGAAAUGCGUAGAUAUCAGGAAGAACACCCGUGGCUAAGGCGGCUCCCUAGUACGUGACUGACGCUGAGACGCGAAAGCGUGGGGAGCGAACAGG
rnacentral:rRNA from 1 species